GACAAGUCCUUGAGGAGGGUCUGGGGUGGAGAGUUAGGAAUGGGGAAUUAACGUUCGGAAUGAUAACUGGGUGCCGAGGCCUGGAAGUGGAAGAGUGCACUGUCAAAACAUAGAUAUUAGAUAUACUAAUGUCUCUGAUUUAAUUGAUAAGGAUACCAAUACCUGGAAGCAAGACGUUAUCAGAUCCUUAUUUGGAGAGGAGCAGUUAAUGAGCAUUCUUUCAAUCCCCUUAGUGAGUAGUCGACCUCAUGACCAGCGGAUUUGGCGAGGAGAUAAUACAGGGCAGUAUACAGUUAAAAGUGGCUACAAAUGGAUCAAUACAAGCGGAAGUUCUAGACUACAUACAGACGGUCCUACCACUUUCUAUACAAAGCUAUGGGGUCUUAAUAUACCAAGCAAAAUUCGAAUCCUUAUGUGGUGAAUAGCCAAUGAUUUUUUGCCCACGUUAUAUAACCUAGGACUUCGAAGGUUGGGAACUAAUGCACUAUGCCCGGUGUGUCAAGCUGAAGAGGAAAGGGUGAGCCAUCUAUUUCGGGAUUGUUCUUUCACACAGCAGAUCUUGAGAAGGUUAAGAGUGACAGACGCAACCUGCAGUAGCAUCCCCAAUUGGAAACAGUGGCUAGAAAGAACAGUCGACAACCAAAAUGCAGAAAGUAAUACGAUUAGAUCGAUCAGUUACUGGGCUAUAUGGUAUAACCGUAAUAAGCUUUACCAUGAAGGAAUCAAAGAACAAGUUCAUGGAUUAGUAGCGUUUAUCGGUUCCUAUCAUGCAGAAAUUAAUGUUAUGGGACAAAUAUCAAGAAAUGCAAAUGGUGUGAGGGAAGUUUCUUGGAAACCUCCACAGGGUGACAUUAUUAAAAUUAAUUUUGAUGCAUCAUUUAACCAGGGCACGGGGAAAUCAGUUUCUGGAGUAUUAGCACGAAAUAGAGAAGGUCUAGUAAUGGUUGCUUGUACCUUUCCUUGGGAGAACAUUCCAGAUUCAACGAUGGCGGAAGCAAGGGCGUAUCUGCAAGCAGUUACCAUGGCGGAGGAAAUGGGAUUUCAGGACAUUAUUGUGAAAGGUGAUGCAUUGACCAUAAUCCGAAAGCUAAACUCGGAUGAGGAUGAUAAGUCGAGCAUUUGCAGCCUAAUUAAAGAAAUCAAAGGGAGAGGUCAUAGGUUUAGAAGUUUACGGUUUGAGUACGUACCUCGAGGGGCCAACGAAGCGGCUCACGAAAUGGCGCUAGAAGGAAGACAACACGAAAACCCCCAAUACUGGAUUGAGGAAGCUCCGCUCGCGGUGGUCAGACUGAUUGACCACGAUAGAGGAAGUAUAAUCUAACGGAGUUGAAAUGGCAAAGUCGAGUCCGGACGUUGUGAUAGUAUGUUGGUCCGAAGAACUCGUAAUUUUAACGGAGACUAAGAUUUUAAAAGGUGAUUUUUGUGGGAAGAUUAGUCUCUCAAUCGACUGGUAUCGAUAAGUUUUCUUCAUGCAAAAUGAGAGGAAAGGAUUUCAAGCCUAAGUUUUUUAGUUUUGCUUUUAGUUUUUCUGUCGAUUUAUGUUCUGCGAUCAUAUUUCUGUUUUAUUUUAUUUUGCUUUAAUUAAUUUUUCUUGAAAGUACCGUUGAGGUGGCCAGCUAUUGAUGUAUAGCUGUUAGCAUUUCUUUUUCCUAGGCCUGUAAUUAAAUUAUUAUUUCCUCC
rnacentral:lncRNA from 1 species